CCUACGGGCGGCAGCAGUGAGGAAUAUUGGGCAAUGGGCGCAAGCCUGAACCAGCCACGUCGCGUGAAGGAUGACUGCCCUACGGUUGUUAAACUUCUUUUAUAAAGACAUAAAGUGAGACACGUGUGCCUUUUUGUGUGUACUUUAUGAAUAAGGAUCGGCUAACUACGUGCCAGCAGCCGCGGUAAUACGGAGGAUCCAAGCGUUGUCCGGAUUUACUGGGUUUAAAGGGAGUGUAGAUGGGUUGUUAAGUCAGUUGUGAAAGCUUGCGGCUCAACCGUAAAAUUGCAAUUGAUACUGGCAGUCUUGAGUACAGUUGAGGCAGGCGGAAUUCGUGGUGUAGCGGUGAAAUGCUUAGAUAUCACGAAGAACUCCGAUUGCGAAGGCAGCUUACUAAACUGCCACUGACAUUGAUGCUCGAAAGUGUGGGUAUCAAACAGGAUUAGAUACCCGAGUAGUC
rnacentral:rRNA from 1 species